GCCGUCUAGUCUUAAUCGCGUCGGUAGCAAAAAUUGUCAUAGUGAAUGAAUAGUGUUCACACAAAGUAGAAGACGAUCAAAGUUAUUUCAGUUUAUUGGGGACAUUUCUCUGGGAACUAUAUUUCUCUCAACGUUUGAUCAUUGCUGCAAUUAUUGAAGUACAAGUUGGCUAGUGCAUCAAAACAGGACCAAGCUACCAAAGGAAUUUCACGCCAUAGCCAUGAGAACCGGUAUUGCGAGUGGAAGCACGAUAAAAGGGAAAAAUAAAAAGUUGGAAUGGGUACUAAGCCCAAGAAAGAGAAGAAUUCGAAAAUUACUAAGAGAGACAAGCGAGCCAAUACAACUACAGAGUAUUUUUCAAUGAUUCCAUAAAAAUUAAUCCAGAGGAUCAUGUGUGUACCGGAUUUAUAGUAAAAUUAAUGAAUCUUCAUCCUACAAGUAUUUUAUUGCGAAUGGAAAAUUCAAUUCGUUGGAGCAUCCCACAGGGAUGUAUAAAUAAUAAUAAUAAAUGGGCUUUAUUCAUUGA